AGCUUUGCGCAGUGGCAGUAUCGUAGCCAAUGAGGUUUAUCCGAGGCGCGAUUAUUGCUAAUUAAAAAUGUGAACAAAGCUGACAUUUUGAGUUAUGCACAAUAAGUAAAGCUGCUAUACGUGCAG
rnacentral:snRNA from 1 species